rnacentral:rRNA from 1 species
AUUGAACGCUGGCGGCAGGCCUAACACAUGCAAGUCGAGCGGAUGAAGGGGGCUUGCUCCUGGAUUCAGCGGCGGACGGGGGAGGAAUGCCUAGGAAUCUGCCUGGUAGGGGGGGAUAACGUCCGGGAACGGGCGCUAAUACCGCAUACGUCCUGAGGGAGAAAGUGGGGGAUCUUCGGACCUCACGCUAUCAGAUGAGCCUAGGUCGGAUUAGCUAGUUGGUGGGGUAAAGGCCUACCAAGGCGACGAUCCGUAACUGGUCUGAGAGGAUGAUCAGUCACACUGGAACUGAGACACGGUCCAGACUCCUACGGGAGGCAGCAGUGGGGAAUAUUGGACAAUGGGCGAAAGCCUGAUCCAGCCAUGCCGCGUGUGUGAAGAAGGUCUUCGGAUUGUAAAGCACUUUAAGUUGGGAGGAAGGGCAGUAAGUUAAUACCUUGCUGUUUUGACGUUACCAACAGAAUAAGCACCGGCUAACUUCGUG